AGAGUUUGAUCCUGGCUCAGGACGAACGCUGGCGGCGCGCCUAACACAUGCAAGUCGAACGGAGCUGUUUUCUCUGAAGUUUUCGGAUGGAAGAGAGUUCAGCUUAGUGGCGAACGGGUGAGUAACACGUGAGCAACCUGCCUUUCAGUGGGGGACAACAUUUGGAAACGAAUGCUAAUACCGCAUAAGACCACAGUGUCGCAUGGCACAGGGGUCAAAGGAUUUAUCCGCUGAAAGAUGGGCUCGCGUCCGAUUAGCUAGAUGGUGAGGUAACGGCCCACCAUGGCGACGAUCGGUAGCCGGACUGAGAGGUUGAACGGCCACAUUGGGACUGAGACACGGCCCAGACUCCUACGGGAGGCAGCAGUGGGGAAUAUUGCACAAUGGGGGAAACCCUGAUGCAGCGACGCCGCGUGGAGGAAGAAGGUCUUCGGAUUGUAAACUCCUGUCCCUGGGGACGAUAAUGACGGUACCCUGGGAGGAAGCACCGGCUAACUACGUGCCAGCAGCCGCGGUAAAACGUAGGGUGCAAGCGUUGUCCGGAAUUACUGGGUGUAAAGGGAGCGCAGGCGGGAAGACAAGUUGGAAGUGAAAUCCAUGGGCUCAACCCAUGAACUGCUUUCAAAACUGUUUUUCUUGAGUAGUGCAGAGGUAGGCGGAAUUCCCGGUGUAGCGGUGGAAUGCGUAGAUAUCGGGAGGAACACCAGUGGCGAAGGCGGCCUACUGGGCACUAACUGACGCUGAGGCUCGAAAGCAUGGGUAGCAAACAGGAUUAGAUACCCUGGUAGUCCAUGCCGUAAACGAUGAUUACUAGGUGUGGGAGGAUUGACCCCUUCCGUGCCGCAGUUAACACAAUAAGUAAUCCACCUGGGGAGUACGACCGCAAGGUUGAAACUCAAAGGAAUUGACGGGGGCC
rnacentral:rRNA from 1 species